AGUGAACGCUGGCGGUAGGCCUAACACAUGCAAGUCGAACGGCAGCACAGUAAUAGCUUGCUCUUCCGGGGGGCGAGUGGCGGACGUGUGAGGAAUACAUCGGAAUCUACUUUUUCGUGGGGGUUCACGUAGGGAAACUUACGCUAAUACAGCAUACGACCUACGGGUGAAAGCAUGGGAUCUUCGGGCCUGUCGCGAUUGAAUGAGCCGAUGUCGGAUUAGCUAGUUGGCGGGGUAAAGGCCCACCAAGGCGACGAUCCGUAGCUGGUCUGAGAGGAUGAUCAGCGACACUGGAACUGAGACACGGUCCAGACUCCUACGGGAGGCAGCAGUGGGGAAUAUCGGACAAUGGGCGCAAGCCUGAUCCAGCCAUACCGCGUGGGUGAAGAAGGCCUUCGGGUUGUAAAGCCCUUUUGUUGGGAAAGAAAAGCAGCAGGUUAAUACCCCGCUGUUCUGACGGUACCCAAAGAAUAAGCACCGGCUAACUUCGUG
rnacentral:rRNA from 1 species